UGCCAGCCGCCGCGGUAAUACGAAGGGUGCUAGCGUUGUUCGGAAUUACUGGGCGUAAAGCGCGCGUAGGCGGACUAGUCAGUCAGAGGUGAAAUCCCAGGGCUCAACCCCGGAAGUGCACUUGAAACAGCAAGACUUGAAUACGGUAGAGGAGAGAGGAAUUCCUGGUGUAGAGGUGAAAUUCGUAGAUAUCAGGAGGAACACCGAUGGCGAAGGCAUCUCUCUGGGCCGAUAUUGACGCUGAGGCGUGAAGGCGUGGGUAGCGAACGGGAUUAGAUA
rnacentral:rRNA from 1 species